rnacentral:rRNA from 1 species
UACGAAGGGGGCUAGCGUUGUUCGGAAUUACUGGGCGUAAAGCGCGCGUAGGCGGGUGAUUAAGUCAGGGGUGAAAUCCCAAGGCUCAACCUUGGAACUGCCUCUGAUACUGAUCGCCUGGAGUUCGGGAGAGGUGAGUGGAAUUCCGAGUGUAGAGGUGAAAUUCGUAGAUAUUCGGAGGAACACCAGAAGCGAAGGCGGCUCACUGGCCCGAUACUGACGCUGAGGCGCGAAAGCGUGGGGAGCAAACAGG